rnacentral:rRNA from 1 species
UACGUAGGUGGCAAGCGUUGUCCGGAAUUAUUGGGCGUAAAGAGCGUGUAGGCGGUCAGGUAGGUCCGUUGUGAAAACUCGAGGCUCAACCUCGAGACGCCGAUGGAAACCAUCUGACUAGAGUCCGGAAGAGGAGAGUGGAAUUCCUGGUGUAGCGGUGAAAUGCGCAGAUAUCAGGAAGAACACCCGUGGCUAAGGCGGCUCUCUAGUACGGUACUGACGCUGAGACGCGAAAGCGUGGGGAGCGAACAGG